rnacentral:rRNA from 1 species
GAUGAACGCUGGCGGCGUGCCUAAUACAUGCAAGUCGAGCGAACGGACGAGAAGCUUGCUUCUCUGAUGUUAGCGGCGGACGGGUGAGUAACACGUGGAUAACCUACCUAUAAGACUGGGAUAAGUUCGGGAAACCGGAGCUAAUACCGGAUAAUAUUUUGAACCGCAUGGUUCAAAAGUGAACGACGGUCUUGCUGUCCCUUAUAGAUGGAUCCGCGCUGCAUUAGCUAGUUGGUAAGGUAACGGCUUACCAAGGCAACGAUGCAUAGCCGACCUGAGAGGGUGAUCAGCCACACUGGAACUGAGACACGGUCCAGACUCCUGCGGGAGGCAGCAGUAGGGAAUCUUCCGCAAUGGGCGAAAGCCUGACGGAGCAACGCCGCGUGAGUGAUGAAGGUCUUCGGAUCGUAAAGCUCUGUUAGUUGGGAAGAACAUAUGUGUGAUUAACUGUGCACGUCUUGACGGUACCUAAUCAGAAAGCCACGGCUAACUACGUG